rnacentral:rRNA from 1 species
UACGUAGGGGGCGAGCGUUGUCCGGAUUUAUUGGGCGUAAAGAGCGUGUAGGCGGUUCGGUAAGUCUGUCGUGAAAUCCUGAGGCUCAACCUCGGACGUGCGAUGGAUACUGCCGGGCUAGAGGAUGGUAGAGGCGAGUGGAAUUCCCGGUGUAGCGGUGAAAUGUGUAGAGAUCGGGAGGAACACCAGUGGCGAAGGCGGCUACCUGGACCAGCACUGACACUCAGACACGAAAGCGUGGGGAGCAAACAGG